rnacentral:rRNA from 3 species
UGGGGAAUAUUGGACAAUGGGCGCAAGCCUGAUCCAGCAAUGCCGCGUGAGUGAUGAAGGCCUUCGGGUUGUAAAGCUCUUUCGCACGCGACGAUGAUGACGGUAGCGUGAGAAGAAGCCCCGGCUAACUUCGUGCCAGCAGCCGCGGUAAUACGAAGGGGGCUAGCGUUGUUCGGAAUUACUGGGCGUAAAGGGCGCGUAGGCGGUACUUCAAGUCAGGCGUGAAAGCCCCGGGCUCAACCUGGGAACCGCGCUUGAGACUGGAGAACUAGAGUUCGGGAGAGGAUGGUGGAAUUCCCAGUGUAGAGGUGAAAUUCGUAGAUAUUGGGAAGAACACCGAUGGCGAAGGCAGCCAUCUGGACCGACACUGACGCUGAGGCGCGAAAGCGUGGGGAGCAAACAGG